UACGGAGGGGACUAGCGUUGUUCGGAAUUACUGGGCGUAAAGCGCACGUAGGCGGAUUUGUAAGUCAGGGGUGAAAUCCCGAGGCUCAACCUCGGAACUGCCUUUGAUACUGCAAAUCUCGAGUCCGGAAGAGGUGAGUGGAAUUCCUAGUGUAGAGGUGAAAUUCGUAGAUAUUAGGAAGAACACCAGUGGCGAAGGCGGCUCACUGGUCCGGUACUGACGCUGAGGUGCGAAAGCGUGGGGAGCAAACAGGAU
rnacentral:rRNA from 1 species